GUAGGCCCUUAAUGCAAAUGGAAGAUUUAAACCCAACAAAUAAGAUAGACAUGAAGGAUAAUGAUUUCUUCCAGUGAAAUGUGGUUAGAGUUAUAGCUAACAAAUGUUACUCAGAAAUGUCUAUUGCAAUGUUAAUAUACACUGGUCUUAGUUUGCAUUUUCUACCCUUCCCAAAGCCACACCAAUACCACUAUCAUACAAAAGUAAUAUCACUGUUUUUCAGGUCUCUGGACAUUUCUAAACCUUACAUUCCUGCCCUGUUUCCCAUCGGUCAAAAACUUGAAAUGGGUCUCUAUCUCUUGCAUGAAAGAUCAAGAUCAACGGUCUUGAUCAUCGAAUUUGUGUACAGUAGCGGAGGUAAACUGACCACCAGGAUUAGAUGGCUCUUUGCUUCUUCUCUUCCUUGUUAUGUUUCCACCAGGUUCGCAAAACUAUAUAAAUUCAGAAAAUCUACGAAGCUUCUAUUAGAAUUUUAGAAAUUCUAUGAAUUCGGCUACAUCAACAUAGAGGUUGAAUUCAACUACCCAAUGAAGACAAAAUUUUGUGAGUUCCGUCUUCAUUAGGUAGACCAAUUUCAAGGGAAGCUGGAGGGAAUGGAACCUGAAGUCAUGGGUCCUCUACUGCUGCUGGAAAAUACUCCGACAUGCCAGUAUUUGUGUUCUUGUAAUUAAAAAAUGUUAAUAAAAUCCUUGAUGAAAACUUAUGUUCCAUUUAUACCAUAUGGGGCAAAGAUUGUGAUUCAGUCCUUUUUGUUCUUGUUUUGUAGCUUAACAAGGAGUACCAACAAAUUAUUUUUUUUUUUUCUGAUAUAGAUGAUAGAUAUGGACAACCUACAAUAAUUGGAUCAUUUGGUAAAACUGGAGUACCCAACUCAGAUGCUUGGAUAUUUGUGUAAGCUUCAAGAAUGAUCGUCCAGAAGAAUUGGAUGCUAGGAAACAGUUCUAUGGGGCAGCAUCUGCACUGCACAGGUCAUGCACCAAGCUAGCAAAGUCCCCUACUUAUUGGGCCUUGAUUCUCAUGACCUAUUACAGCUGGCAAUGCAGAAUUUUUGAGUUUGCCACUUGAGAGUCUUGUGU